AUUGAACGCUGGCGGCAGGCCUAACACAUGCAAGUCGAGCGGACGAAGGGAGCUUGCUCCUGGAUUCAGUGGCGGACGGGCGAGUAAUGCCUAGGAAUCUGCCUGGCAGUGGGGGAUAACGUCCGGAAACGGGCGCUAAUACCGCAUACGUCCUUAGGGUGAAAGUGGGGGAUCUUUGGACCUCACGCUAUCAGAUGAGCCUAGGUCGGAUUAGCUAGUUGGUGGGGUAAAGGCCUACCAAGGCGACGAUCCGUAACUGGUCUGAGAGGAUGAUCAGUCACACUGGAACUGAGACACGGUCCAGACUCCUACGGGAGGCAGCAGUGGGGAAUAUUGGACAAUGGGCGAAAGCCUGAUCCAGCCAUGCCGCGUGUGUGAAGAAGGUCUUCGGAUUGUAAAGCACUUUAAGUUGGGAAGAAGAGCAGUAAGUUAAUACCUUGCUGUUUUGACGGUACCAACAGAAUAAGCACCGGCUAACUUCGUG
rnacentral:rRNA from 1 species